CAGAGUACAGCCUCGUUGAGUGAACGGUGCUGUAAAACAGGUUAAUUUACUUAAUCUUUUUAGACAAGCUGCCCGAGUCCUGUCGCUAUAUUUCAUUCAUAAUGGCUUUAAUGUUACCCAUAUUCUUUCUGGUGAUGUCUAACCGAAAGCAUUUUAGUCUGAUAGGAACAGACACAGAUACAGCAGGGCCAUCAAGGCAGCAUAACAGGAAAUAUGUGAACAGCAGCAGAUAUAGGCUACAGCAGGGUCACCAAAUCAGACAAAGCAGCAUAACAGAACACAUUUUGGUCUGAUGUAAACAGCUGAAGAUAUACAGAAGUGUCACUGAAUUAGUCAAAACAGCAUAACAGGUUACCAAAGUUUGUUAGACCACUCUAUUUCACAAAGAUUGGCUGUAAUGUUACCCAAAUUCACUCUGGUGAUGUCUAACCUCCUUUGUUUCAUGCUCUAUAAAGCAUAUUUGUCUGAUGUGAACAGAUAUAGAUACAACAGGUCACCAAAUCCAACAACACAGCAUUAAAGGUUACUGAAAUCUGUUACCCCCCCUCUAUUUGACACAGAUAAUGGUUGUGAUGUCAGUCAAAUUCACUCUUGCGAUGUAUUACCAUUUCUGUUUUAUAUCCUAAAAAUAUUUUGGUCUGAUAUGAACAGACGCAGAUGUACAGUAGCAUCACCAAAUCCGACGACACCGCAUUAGUGGAUACUGAAAUCUGUUAUACAUCUGUUCAACCACACAGAAUGGCUUUAAUGUUACCUAGAUUCACUCUGGUAAUGUCUAUCUGCCUCUACUUAAUAUAUCCUAGAAAAUAUUUUGGUCUGAUGUGAACAGCUGCAGAUAUACAGCAGGGUCACCAAAUCCAACAACACCGCAUUAGAGGACACCAAAAUCUGUUACCUCCCUCUAUUUCACACAGAAUGGCUUUAAUGCUACCCACAUUCCCUCUGGUGAUUUCUUACUUCCUGUAUUUUAUAUCUUACAAUGCAUUUUGGCCUGAUGCGAACAGACACAGAUACAGCAGGGUCACCAAAUCCAACAACACCGCAUUAGAGGACACCAAAUCUGUUACCUCCCUCUAUUUCACACAGAAUGGCUUUAAUGCUACCCACAUUCCCUCUGGUGAUUUCUUACUUCCUGUAUUUUAUAUCUUACAAUGCAUUUUGGCCUGAUGCGAACAGAUACAGAUACAGCAGGGUCACCAAAUCCGAGAACACAGCAUUAAAGAAACCAGUUUAGUCUGACAUGAAUAGAUACAGCAGGGUCAACAAAUCUGACAAGGUAAAUACUGUAUGUAUCUUAAAAACAGCAUAAUAUAAUCUAGUGACAGGUUUCUCCAGGUCAUUGAUUACAGCACAGCAAAUAUCAAUGGUUCUAAUAAUACCUGAAUACCUGAUAUUAGCAUACAUUUUGUUAAAGAUUUAUGCCAAUAUUUAAAAUCAAGGUUGAAUA